UUCCUACGGGAGGCAGCAGUGGGGGAUAUUGCACAAUGGGGGCAACCCUGAUGCAGCGACGCCGCGUGAGCGAUGGAGUACUUCGGUAUGUAAAGCUCUGUCAGCAGGGAAGAGAAUGACGGUACCUGACCAAGAAGCCCCGGCUAACUACGUGCCAGCAGCCGCGGUAAUACGUAGGGAGCGAGCGUUGUCCGGAUUUACUGGGUGUAAAGGGUGCGUAGGCGGCUUGGCAAGUCAGUAGUGAAAUCCAUGGGCUUAACCCAUGAACUGCUAUUGAAACUGUCGAGCUUGAGUGAAGUAGAGGG
rnacentral:rRNA from 1 species